CAAGCGUGCGCAGGCGGUUCUGUAAGACAGCUGUGAAAUCACCGGGCUCAACCAGGGAAUUGCAUUUGUGACUGCAGGACUAGAGUUCAUCAGAGGGGGGUGGAAUUCCAAGGGUAGCAGUGAAAUGCGUAGAUAUUUGGAAGAACACCAAUGGCGAAGGCAGCCCCCUGGGAUGCGACUUACGCUCAUGCACGAAAGCGUGGGGAGCAA
rnacentral:rRNA from 1 species